rnacentral:misc_RNA from 1 species
GAUGAAGAACGCAGCGAAAUGCGAUAAGUAAUGUGAAUUGCAGAAUUCAGUGAAUCAUCGAAUCUUUGAACGCACAUUGCGCCCGCCAGCAUUCUGGCGGGCAUGCCUGUUCGAGCGUCAUUUCAACCCUCGAGCCCCCCCGGGGGCCUCGGUGUUGGGGGACGGCACACCAGCCGCCCCCGAAAUGCAGUGGCGACCUCGCCGCAGCCUCCCCUGCGUAGUAGCACACACCUCGCGCCGGAGCGCGGAGACGGUCACGCCGUAAAACGCCCAACUUCUUAGAGUUGACCUCGGAUCAGGUAGGAAUACCCGCUGAACUUAAGCAUAUCAAUAAGCGGAGGA